rnacentral:rRNA from 1 species
ACGCUCGACACCUACUGGAGGCAGCAGUCGGGAAUAUUGCGCAAUGGAGGAAACUCUGACGCAGUGACGCCGCGUAUAGGAAGAAGGUUUUCGGAUUGUAAACUAUUGUCGUUAGGGAAGAGAAAGGACAGUACCUAAGGAGGAAGCUCCGGCUAACUACGUGCCAGCAGCCGCGGUAAUCUGAGCGGGCUGGCAAGGC